CUUUGGUAACAAUCUGGAGUCUCCAGGGAGCUCUGCAGCAGUUCAAAAACUAAAGGUGGAAACUGUCCCUGCUCUUUCUGAUGGUGUACCACCCAUUAAAGAUGGAAAACAGGACCAGUAGUGGAUGAGUUGUGACUGCUGACAUCAGAACCACAUGAGACAUCAGAGGAGGUUCACCUAUCUGAGGAGAUAGUGUCACAUCGAUGUCAAUGUGAAACACAAACACAUGACGGAGUAAACAAAGUGUUACUGAGAUGGAGAAUGACUGCAGAAUUCCAAAGUGCAGAUGAUUUAGUGCAUGUGUCACAACAAGUCAGUAUGCAGGUAAAGCAAGUAAUUAAGAA